CUGAAGACCCUGACGUCCACAUACCUGGCGAUGACGUCACCCACGUGCCACGUCUUCCCUUCCUAUGGGUAUAAAAGGGUCCUGAAGACGCCUGGAGAUCCUGGAAAAGCUGCUGAGGAAAUACUGUGUUAAACUGUCCAGACAGCAACUGUUCCAGUUACCCAAGACCCAGUCCAAAGUUCCUCUACAGAUCUUCAUACUCACUGUCCAGCCCUGAAACAAGGCCCUGCCUGGAGGAGGGAUAUAAGGAAGUGUUUUGGAGGAAGAAGAAAGAGAAAGAUGAUAUUUUGGACAUCUGGUUGUUCGAGUGAUAGUUUUGA